rnacentral:rRNA from 1 species
CGAAAGUUACGCUAAUACCGCAUACGAUCUACGGAUGAAAGCGGGGACUCGCAAGAGCCUCGCGCGAUUGGAGCGGCCGAUAUCAGAUUAGGUAGUUGGUGGGUAAAGGCUCACCAAGCCAACGAUCUGUAGCUGGUCUGAGAGGACGACCAGCCACACUGGAACUGAGACACGGUCCAGACUCCUACGGGAGGCAGCAGUGGGGAAUUUUGGACAAUGGACGCAAGUCUGAUCCAGCCAUUCCGCGUGCAGGAUGAAGGCCCUCGAGUUGUAAACUGCUUUUGUACGGAACGAAAAGGUUUCUAUUAAUACUAGGAGCUCAUGACGGUACCGUAAGAAUAAGCACCGGCUAACUACGUG